UGUAACAAGGUCUCCGUUGGUGAACCAGCGGAGGGAUCAUUACAGGACUCGCAAGACUCCCGUAAACCACUGUGAACUUACCUACAACCCGUUGCCUCGGCGGGUGCUCCGGGCGCGUCUUCGGGCGCUCCGGGGCGCUCCAGCCCGCCGGCGGCCCCUAAACUGUGUCUCUGUAACGUUGGCAUCUCCGAGCAGACUAUAAACGAGUCAAAACUUUCAACAACGGAUCUCUUGGUUCUGGCAUCGAUGAAGAACGCAGCGAAAUGCGAUAAGUAAUGUGAAUUGCAGAAUUCAGUGAAUCAUCGAAUCUUUGAACGCACAUUGCGCCCGCCAGCACUCUGGCGGGCAUGCCUGUCCGAGCGUCAUUUCAACCCUCAGGCCCCGCCUGGCGUUGGAGCCCUGCGCAGCGCAGGCUCCCAAAGACAGCGGCGGGCGCGCCCCGGAACCGAGAGCAGUAAUGCUUUCUCGUUCUGGUCCGGCGCGCGCUCCGGCCGUAAAACCCCCAACUUUCUAAGUGGUUGACCUCGGAUC
rnacentral:rRNA from 1 species